ensembl:lncRNA
CGGAGCGUCUCAUCCAGCGAGGAAACGCUGCCUGCCGUCGCCAGAGAACAGAGCAGAAAGGUCCGACAGUCUUUAAACGCGUCUUCAUGUUUCUGUGAAGCAGCGCGGCUUCAGCCUGCUAACAGUCAGCUAACAGUCAGCUAACAGGCAGCUAACAGGCAGCUAACAGUCAGCUAACAGGCAGCUAACAGGCAGCUAACAGUCAGCUAACAGUCAGCUAACAGGCAGCUAACAGGCAGCUAACCCGAGACAGCUGAGCUAAACUAACGAAGCCACAUUCAAACUCGCCGAAGCGUAAAAUAGUCGUCGCGGUCCGUAGUCGGUGCAAAAGAACCGCCGCUGCGCGCGUUCUGGGUUGGUGGAUGACGUCAUCAUGACGCGUUAAUAACCGCCGUACUUUGCGGUCUGUUUUCUGUCGGCUGCGUGCGAAUUUAGGGGGAAAAAGUAUCGUGACUUUGUCAACCACCAACAUGUUCGUCUCGUCUCGUUAACGAAAGUUAGAAUAGAUUUAGUCAUAGUUUUUAUUCUUUAAGAUCGUUUUCGUCUCGUCUUAGUCUCGUCUUAGUCAUGGAAAAAAGCUUCGUUAACGAAAAAUUUUCGUCAUAGUUUUCGUCGAUGAAAUUAACACUGGAAGUUACCCAGAGGCCAAAAACUACAAAAUAAAAGAGAACCCAAACCGUGACACCCUGCCUCGAUGAGGUGACACCUCCAGGUGGGUGAGUGCUGAAGCCUUCUGCAGAAGGAUGUAUUAUUCCUUGAAAUCCACAAUUUGAUAACAACACCAGAUGAGGAGCAUUCAAGGAAUAGAUUAGCUCACUGAGGCGUGCAUCUUCUCCUAUCCAAAUAGGGUUUAGACAAUGCGCGUGUGUGUUGAGGCCGCGUUGUGUAGUCUUGUUUGUGACACUUGAGACAGAUAAAAGUGGAUUUCUCAGUUUGCAGUCUAAUGUUCCCACUCUGUACUUCCACAGUGUCAAGAGCAGCUCAGCCUACAUGAGACACACUGUCAGGUCCAAAUGCAUCAGCAGUGAAUUGAAAAGUGAAGUGAAAGUAUUUUACUGCUGGAAUGACAUAUUUUCGUCUCCAGACAGACUUCCUAAUACUUACUGGCUCCUGCUGUCCAUAUUGGACAGUGUCCUCUGGCAGGAUACGG